rnacentral:rRNA from 1 species
CUAGUGAUUAGAGUUUGAUCAUGGCUCAGGAUGAACGCUAGCGGCAAGCCUAACACAUGCAAGUCGAACGGUAACUUUUGGUGCUUGCACCGAAAGACGAGUGGCGAACGGGUGCGUAACGCGUAUGCAAUCUACCUUUUACUAGAGUAUAGCCCAGAGAAAUUUGGAUUAAUCCUCUAUAACAUCAUUUAUUCGCAUGAAUUUAUGAUUAAAGCUUCGGCGGUAAAAGAUGAGCAUGCGUCCUAUUAGUUAGUAGGUGAGGUAAUGGCUCACCUAGACUGCGAUAGGUAGGGGUCCUGAGAGGGAGAUCCCCCACACUGGUACUGAGACACGGACCAGACUCCUACGGGAGGCAGCAGUGAGGAAUAUUGGACAAUGGACGAAAGUCUGAUCCAGCUAUGCCGCGUGCAGGAUGACAGCCCUACGGGUUGUAAACUGCUUUUAUACAGGAAGAAAACCUUCGACGUGUCGAAGCUUGACGGUACUGUAAGAAUAAGGAUCGGCUAACUCCGUGCCAGCAGCCGCGGUAAUACGGAGGAUCCAAGCGUUAUCCGGAAUCAUUGGGUUUAAAGGGUCCGCAGGCGGUUUUUUAAGUCAGAGGUGAAAUCCUGCAGCUCAACUGUAGAAUUGCCUUUGAUACUGAAAGACUUGAGUUAUUGUGAAGUGGUUAGAAUGUGUGGUGUAGCGGUGAAAUGCAUAGAUAUCACACAGAAUACCAAUUGCGAAGGCAGAUCACUAACAAUAUACUGACGCUCAGGGACGAAAGCGUGGGUAGCGAACAGGAUUAGAUACCCUGGUAGUCCACGCCGUAAACGAUGGAUACUAGCUGUAUGUCUACCUCAGGUAGAUGUGUGGCUAAGCGAAAGUGAUAAGUAUCCCACCUGGGGGAGUACGAUC